UGCAGUUGUUUUGUCUACUUUUACCACAGUACCUUGUCUGUGUUUGUUAGGACCAAAUCUCAAAGCCUGGCUGAGAGUUUUCAGUAGAAAUGGAGUUACAUCUGUUUGGGAGAACAGUCUUCAGAUUACUACAGUUUCUAGUUUCAUAGGAGCAUGGCUUGGAGCAUUUCCUAUUCCACUGGAUUGGGAAAGACCAUGGCAGGGGACGCAAGAGCUUACAGGUUGCCAGGGUGAGCCGUCACACAGCAGAGGAGAGGGGAUUAAAUAAAAACUCCUAAGGUGUGGCCCAUCUCCUGUACAUUCGGAGCGACCUUUGGCUACGUGGCUGGCCUGGUUAUCUCGCCACUCUGGAUAUACUGGAAUAGAAAGCAACUUACAUACAAGAACAAUUAAGAGGAGAAGGGAGAGAAGUGAUUUCUUUGUGCAGAGUCCAUAAGGGCUGUGCAGAAGUGUACAUGGUCAAAGCCGAGCCGUCCAUUGACAGCACUGUGGUUUUCUAAAUGUCAUUUCAACAUGAUGUGAUUGUAGCUUUUUAACUAUGAAACCCCUGAGAGAUUGUACCUUCUAGUUGAAAUAAAGUAUUUAUAGUAG
rnacentral:lncRNA from 1 species